UACGAAGGGGACUAGCGUUGUUCGGAAUUACUGGGCGUAAAGGGCUCGUAGGCGGCCAACUAAGUCAGACGUGAAAUCCCUCGGCUUAACCGGGGAACUGCAUCUGAUACUGGAUGGCUUGAGUUCGGGAGAGGGAUGCAGAAUUCCAGGUGUAGCGGUGAAAUGCGUAGAUAUCUGGAGGAAUACCGGUGGCGAAGGCGGCAUCCUGGACCGACAUUGACGCUGAUGAGCGAAAGCUAGGGGAGCAAACGGG
rnacentral:rRNA from 1 species